rnacentral:rRNA from 1 species
GGGUCAGUAGGUUGGUCGUGCCACCGGUACGUACUGGUCUCACUGAUUCCUCCUUCCUGAAGAACCGUAAUGCCAUUAAUUUGGUGUUGCGGGGAAACAGGACUGUUACUAUGAAAAAAUUAGAGUGAUUAAAGCAAGCUAACGCUUGAAUACAUUAGCAUGGAAUAAUGAAAUAGGACGAUCGAUCCUAUUUUGUUGGUUUCUAGGAUUGACGUA